rnacentral:rRNA from 1 species
AGUAAAAGUCGUAACAAGGUUUCCGUAGGUGAACCUGCGGAAGGAUCAUUACUGAGUGAGGGCCCUCUGGGUCCAACCUCCCACCCGUGUUUAUUUACCUUGUUGCUUCGGCGGGCCCGCCUUAACUGGCCGCCGGGGGGCUUACGCCCCCGGGCCCGCGCCCGCCGAAGACACCCUCGAACUCUGUCUGAAGAUUGUAGUCUGAGUGAAAAUAUAAAUUAUUUAAAACUUUCAACAACGGAUCUCUUGGUUCCGGCAUCGAUGAAGAACGCAGCGAAAUGCGAUACGUAAUGUGAAUUGCAAAUUCAGUGAAUCAUCGAGUCUUUGAACGCACAUUGCGCCCCCUGGUAUUCCGGGGGGCAUGCCUGUCCGAGCGUCAUUGCUGCCCUCAAGCACGGCUUGUGUGUUGGGCCCCGUCCUCCGAUUCCGGGGGACGGGCCCGAAAGGCAGCGGCGGCACCGCGUCCGGUCCUCGAGCGUAUGGGGCUUUGUCACCCGCUCUGUAGGCCCGGCCGGCGCUUGCCGAUCAACCCAAAUUUUUAUCCAGGUUGACCUCGGAUCAGGUAGGGAUACCCGCUGAACUUAAGCAUAUCAAUAAGCGGAGGA